rnacentral:rRNA from 1 species
GACGAACCGUGCGAACGUUGUUCGGAUUCACUGGGCUUAAAGGGCGCAUAGGCGGCUUGCCAAGUCAGGGGUGAAAUCUUUCGGCUUAACCGGAAAAGUGCUUCUGAUACUGGCGGGCUGGAGGGAGGUAGGGGCAGACGGAACUUCCGGUGGAGCGGUGAAAUGCGUAGAUAUCGGAAGGAACGCCGGUGGCGAAAGCGGUCUGCUGGACCUCUUCUGACGCUGAGGCGCGAAAGCCAGGGGAGCAAACGGG